rnacentral:misc_RNA from 1 species
GUGAAUCAUCGAAUCUUUGAACGCAAAUUGCACUCUCCUCGGAGAGUAUGCCUGUUUGAGGGUCAGCCUAUAAAAAAUCGACAUCGUUGCUGUUUCGCGGUGGCGUUCGUCGGAAAUUGGGUUAUCUUAAAUCCUUUUGGUUUUUAAGCGACUUAAAAUUUUUUUGUUGGUUCGAUGAACGUUUCUAAGAUUUUUUUUUUUACACGUUUAAGUUAUCUAUUUUUAUUAGUGGUGACCAUCAUAUAGGAUGUCGUCCAUAAUCUUUUAUUA